rnacentral:rRNA from 1 species
CUCAGAUUGAACGCUGGCGGCAUGCCUUACACAUGCAAGUCGAACGGCAGCACGGACUUCGGUCUGGUGGCGAGUGGCGAACGGGUGAGUAAUGCAUCGGAACGUGCCAUUGAGUGGGGGAUAACGUAGCGAAAGUUGCGCUAAUACCGCAUAUUCUGUGAGCAGGAAAGCAGGGGACCGCAAGGCCUUGCGCUCUUUGAGCGGCCGAUGUCAGAUUAGCUAGUUGGUGAGGUAAAGGCUUACCAAGGCGACGAUCUGUAGCGGGUCUGAGAGGAUGAUCCGCCACACUGGAACUGAGACACGGUCCAGACUCCUACGGGAGGCAGCAGUGGGGAAUUUUGGACAAUGGGGCAACCCUGAUCCAGCCAUGCCGCGUGAGUGAAGAAGGCCUUCGGGUUGUAAAGCUCUUUCGGCCGGGAAGAAAUCGCAUGGGCCAAUACCCUGUGUGGAUGACGGUACCGGAAUAAGAAGCACCGGCUAACUACGUG